rnacentral:rRNA from 1 species
UACGGGAGAUACAAGCGUUAUCCGGAUUUACUGGGCGUAAAGCGUCUGCAGGUGGGUCAGUAAGUCCUUUGUUAAAGCCUGAGGCUUAACCUCAGAUUCGCAAAGGAUACUACUGGUCUGGAGUGGGGUAGAGGUAAAGGGAAUUUUCAGUGGAGCGGUGAAAUGCGUAGAUAUUGAAAAGAACACCGAUGGCGAAAGCACUUUACUAGGCCCUAACUGACACUCAGAGACGAAAGCUAGGGGAGCAAAUAAG